AUUGAACGCUGGCGGCAGGCCUAACACAUGCAAGUCGAGCGCUCACUUCGGUGGGAGCGGCGGACGGGUUAGUAACGCGUGGGAAUAUGCCCGGUACUAAGGAAUAGCCUUUGGAAACGAAGAGUAAUACCUUAUACGCCCUUCGGGGGAAAGAUUUAUCGGUAUCGGAUUAGCCCGCGUAAGAUUAGAUAGUUGGUGGGGUAAUGGCCUACCAAGUCUACGAUCUUUAGCUGGUUUUAGAGGAUGAUCAGCAACACUGGGACUGAGACACGGCCCAGACUCCUACGGGAGGCAGCAGUGGGGAAUCUUAGACAAUGGGCGCAAGCCUGAUCUAGCCAUGCCGCGUGAGUGAAGAAGGCCUUAGGGUCGUAAAACUCUUUCGCCAGAGAUGAUAAUGACAGUAUCUGGUAAAGAAACCCCGGCUAACUCCGUGCCAGCAGCCGCGGUAAUACGGAGGGGGUUAGCGUUGUUCGGAAUUACUGGGCGUAAAGCGCACGUAGGCGGACUGGAAAGUUGGGGGUGAAAUCCCGGGGCUCAACCUCGGAACUGCCUCCAAAACUAUCAGUCUAGAGUUCGAGAGAGGUGAGUGGAAUUCCAAGUGUAGAGGUGAAAUUCGUAGAUAUUUGGAGGAACACCAGUGGCGAAGGCGGCUCACUGGCUCGAUACUGACGCUGAGGUGCGAAAGUGUGGGGAGCAAACAGGAUUAGAUACCCUGGUAGUCCACACCGUAAACGAUGAAUGCCAGUCGUCGGCAAGUAUACUUGUCGGUGACACACCUAACGGAUUAAGCAUUCCGCCUGGGGAGUACGGUCGCAAGAUUA
rnacentral:rRNA from 1 species